GCCAGAACAUAAGAUAGCUGCAUUGGUAGAGCAUGAGACUCUUAAUCUCGGGGUCGCGGGUUCGAGUUCUGUGUUGGGCA